AGAUAUCACCUUGAAGCAAACAAAAGGGCUUUCAUAUACCAUUCCUUCUCAUCCUCUUAAUCCCCACAUGGUCUAGUGACAAACCAACAAGAGAAGUUAUCUUUUUUUCAUGUUAUCGUGGAAGCUCCCGAAAAUAUUAGAAAAUGUUGGAGAUGGAACCUCUCGUUGAAGUAUUAAGGCAUCUUGAUCAGUCUGACGAGAUGAUCUAUAGGCGAGGUGACAAUCAGGUGUUUUGACUAGGCGAGCUGACCAGAUCGCGAACUGAUUACUAGGCAUUUUGACCAAGCUACACAAGGUGAUCACUAGGCGUUCUGACCAAGCAAGAUACCAUUGACCAGGCGAGAUACAACUCGAAUUGUAACAACCGAAGUUUUGUAUAUUUUGUUAAUGUUUUCUACAAUUUUACUAUUUACAAUAAUUAUACUUAAAAUCAAACUAAAUACACUUGGAAAUUUGUGCAAGAUAUAAAUAAAUGUGAAAUAAACUAAAUUAUAUCUCUCUUUCUCAAAAUUACAAAUUUAUCGUUGUCGUCACGUGAAAGUCAGGUGUAUUUUCACUAUGUCUAGAUUUCAAGAUCAUAUAUAAAAUAGCCCAAAAAAGUUUUCAUA